rnacentral:rRNA from 1 species
AGCAGCAGCCGCGGUAAUACGAAGGGGGCUAGCGUUGCUCGGAAUGACUGGGCGUAAAGGGCGCGUAGGCGGAUGGCACAGUCAGAUGCGAAAUUCCCGGGCUUAACCUGGGGGCUGCAUUUGAUACGUGUUGUCUAGAGUGAGGAAGAGGGUUGUGGAAUUCCCAGUGUAGAGGUGAAAUUCGUAGAUAUUGGGAAGAACACCGGUGGCGAAGGCGGCAACCUGGUCCUUGACUGACGCUGAGGCGCGAAAGCGUGGGGAGCAAACAGGAUUAGAUACCCGCGUAGUCCCUGUCUCUUAUAC